rnacentral:lncRNA from 1 species
AUGGUUGAAACCAAAAAGUUGGGAUUUGGUUGUUCUCUAUAUCAAGCUUCUACUCAUGGUUUACACCAGAGAAGAGUUGGAGGUGGUUUUGGUCCAUAUCAAGCAUCUACUUGGGGUUGGCACCAGAGAGGAGUUGGAGGUGGUUUUGGUCUACGUCAACCAUGGUUGACACCAAAAAGUUGGAGUUGGGCUUUCUCUACGUCAAGGUUCUACUCAAGGUUGGCACCAGAGAAGAGCUCGAGGUGGUUUUGGUUUACGUCAACCAUGGUUGACACCAAAAAGUUGGAGUUGGGCUUUCUCUGCAUCAAGGUUCUACUCGUGGUUGGCACCAGAGAAGAACCCAAAAUUAGACUUGGUUUACUCUACUCUUCAAGCUUCUACUCGUGGUUGGCACCAGAGAAGAGCUCGAGGUGGUUUUGGUCUACGUCAAGCAUCUACUCAUGGUUUCCACCAAAGACUUGGAGUUGGUCUUCCUCUACGUCAAGCCUCUACUCAAGGUUGCUACCAACGACUUGGAGCUGGUUUUUCUCUACAUCCAACUUCUACUCAUGGUUGCUACCAAGGAGUUGGAGAUGUUUUUUGUCUACAUCAAGCUUCUACUCAUGGUUUCCACCAAAGACUUGGAGAUGUUUUUUCUCUAUGCCCAAGCCUCUACUCAUGGUUUCCACCAAAGCCUUGGAGAUGUUUUUCUCUAUGCCAAGCCUCUACUCAUGGUUUCCACCAAGGAGUUGGAGUUGGUCUUACUCUACAUUAAGCAUCUACUCAUGGUUUCCACCAAAGAGUUGCUCUUCCUCUAUGCCAAGCAUCUACUCAUGGUUUCCACCAAGGAGUUGGAGAUAUUUUCCCCUUUCUCAACCACAGCCGCCACCCGAGAAGAACCGAACCAAACCCUCCUCCCUCCCACCCCCUCCUCACACCUCCCACCCCACCCCCCGCCCCCUACUCGUCCUCCCCCACCCCCGCACCCGUAGACCAGGAGGUGCUUCUCCACGCGGAAGCAGUCGGUGCGGCCGUAGGGGUGGUGGAGGGGGUGGUGGUGGUGGUGGGGGUGGUGGUGGGGGGGGUGGUGGUGGCGCCGCGAGCGGGGCCGCUCCUCGUCCUCGCUCUCCAGGUCGGAGAAUUCCACCAGGUCGUCGUCGCGCAAGGUGCUGAAGUGGCGCGUCUGCUUGCGCACCCGGGGCGUGUCGAUCACCAGGUUGUUCUACAAGUAGUAAACCAGGAGUAGGAGGACGAAGAGGAGGAGGAGGGUGAAGGAUGAAGGUC